rnacentral:rRNA from 1 species
UACGUAGGGUGCAAGCGUUGUCCGGAAUUAUUGGGCGUAAAGAGCUCGUAGGCGGUCUGUCGCGUCGGCUGUGAAAUCCCGAGGCUCAACCUCGGGUCUGCAGUCGAUACGGGCAAACUAGAGUAUUGCAGGGGAGACUGGAAUUCCUGGUGUAGCGGUGGAAUGCGCAGAUAUCAGGAGGAACACCGAUGGCGAAGGCAGGUCUCUGGGCCACUACUGACGCUGAGAAGCGAAAGCGUGGGGAGCGAACAGG